AUGGGCGAUGGUAGCAGAAUAGAGAGGAUAACUAUGGUUUCUCUACUUCAAAGGGGUAUGUCUAUGUCUGGGAUGAACCACGUGAUAAGAGUACACCACAAAGGAUGCUUAUCCAUAGGCCGAUAAACCCUACCCGUCCUGCUAACGAGAGGUGGACUACAGGGGACCAACGUAACUGUCACCUACGCGGCCUACCACACGAUCCAGCUAGUCAGGGGAUAUCCACAAGUAAUCUAGGUCUAAGCACCACGCUUACACCUAUACUACAACUCUAACCUAUAGGGUCCUAUAGAUUAGAAGUACUCAAAAGAGUUGUGAACCAGAACAUACAUGAUUAGUAAUUGCAUAAUGAAUUAGAAGUAGAUUACCAGAGUCAUCCCAUGAGCAAGCUUGAUUAGAGCUUGAUCAUGGCGAAGUACAACCGGAGGAAGAACCGACAGGCCGGCCUCUCCUCUAAUCCUCCUUCGCUCUCCAUCUCGCUACUAUCUAGAUCUACUCUAGUUUAGAGAAGAGAGGAGAGCUCUCAUCUCUAAACCCUAGCUUUUGCUCUGUCUAUGAAUAAUGAAUAAUGAUCAAGGGGUGUCUCCUCCAGGGGCCAGGGGGUUUGGUUUUAUAGUCCCCUCAAGUGAACCUGGGCCGUCGGAUCAAACCGACAUUGAUUGAACGGUUAUUCUUGAUCCUUUAGGUCGGUGGAGCAUAAUCCGCGAGGUUGAACGUGAUUGGCCACUGUAGCAGGGCGGGCGCCCUAAGGACUUGGGCGGGCGCCCAGGUCCUGGCUCCGAUUCGCCUCCGCUUCGGUCUCGUGGCUUCUGGAGUCUUCUAGAUGUAAGAUAAUUGCGCGGCACGUUAAUAUCUUUACGUAAUCCCGACGUGUGGGCCUUUCUUCCUUAUUUCCUGAUAACCCCCUGCAGAAAUAGACAAACACCAAAACUCGUGGAAUUCUGUCAGAUAAAACCCUAAGUCUCGAUGUUGAUUUCAUUUGGAUCCUUUUCUUUGUUUAUUUGAUAGUUAAAUUUGAUACUUAAGGACCGUCAACAAACUCCCCCAAGCUUACCUCUUGCUCGUCCCUGAGCAAGGAUAGACUCAGCUAUGGAUCAUAAGUUGUUGCAAUAUCUUUAAAAAUUGACGGUACACAUGCUUUUAAAUGAGGUCUCAUCUCUGAGUUAGAGUAAACUGUCAAGACUUAAAACUUACUUACUUUACCUUUCACCAUGGGACUUGUAACCGUCACUUCUGUCUUGAGUGGUUAAAAGAUAGAACAGUCCAGUCAAGUGCCAUGUCGCUUAUUCUUGAUCAGCUAUAGCUCUAGAGUUUUUGCAGAUUUUCAAAUAAAACUCAGAGAUUCCUUUGUAUGACUCUCUCAUAUCUCUCUUUUGUGGUAUUUCUAGAUCCUUACCAAGGCAGUGAUGGUAUAUGCCUUCUCUCAAGAUAUGUGGUAUUUGUGGUAUAAGGCAUAGUGACAUUGCCUUCUCUCUCACCCUACUCUAAUAAGGCUUUAAUAUCUGGAGCUCAUAGGUGGGAGAUAAAGUAUACAUACUUACAAGACAUUUAUUGUAUAGUCAAACCAUGGAUCCAAAGAAACAAAUCAAUAAGCUAAAUCAAGAUGUGCAUGUGUGGCGAAUGAAUAGUGUAUGGUGAUGAUGGUGAUAACAAUGGUGAAAGUCUAAUUCUAUUUUUGCUCUUUUGAGGGGAUACAUACCUUCCUUGCUUUUUGAAACUUUAUGAGGAGAAUGAGAUGCUCUUCUUUUCUUUUCUCUCAGAUGGGUAUCCUGUACCCCUAAUUCUACUGUCGGACACUUGUCCAUUUUUACCUCUCGUCUCACUUUUUUCUUUCUUUCGAGGUUCCGGGCACUUGCCCCUUUUUAUUUCCUCGUUUAUUUUUUUUCUUUUCUUCUCUCUUUUUUUUCUGAGCACUCAUCUCUUGAGAUAAUAUAGCAAGUGGUAGUAGCAAGAUAACUUGAGCAUUUAUUUCACAAGGGAAAACAGAAAUAUUUUUGGCUAUUCUCUCCCGGAUUAGGAGUAGAAUAUUUUUAGGUGAUUUUGGAGAUGGAAAUGGAUGGAUAUAUGUGGAUGGUACUUCCGGAGUAGAAGUAGCAUAUAUAUGAGUGAACGUGCAAGUGAAUCUUGAUUUAACCACAUGACAAGCUCCUAAGGGUCUACACAGCUUGACCACACUCAAUGCUCAUAAGCAGUAAAUAAUAAAUGUGUGGCUCAAAGUCUAGCAAGCAUAUAUAUAUGGCUGUGGUAGGAAUUUAAACUUUCAUCAUACAGGAACUCAUCAUGCAAUAUUUUAAAGAUUUUUCAAAGAUAAAAUUCUCCAGAAUUCUAGCAUCUCUAGGAAUAGAUAAACAGCAGCUCAACCUUCCCAUAUCAUAUCCGUUAACAACUUAGAUUUCAGAUCAAGUUUUCAUCCCACAAGUUUAGAUCUAGAGCAAGCUUUAAAUUAUAACAGUUAUGUCUAAACUUGAGAGAGAACUUCAAAUUUGCAAAUUAGGCAGAGCAACUAUUCAUCAUAUCCAUGCUAGAGUUUUAUUAUUAAGAUUCAUAGCAAACUUUAUUUAUUUAUUUAUUUAUUUAGCAAACUAAGAAAAGAUAUAUAUAUAUAAGCAUAAAAUCUUUAUUUGGUUUUUCAUAGUUUAUGUAUUUUAAUAUUCUAAUAUAAUAUAAGUAUAAAGAUAGGUAGAAAUACUUAGCGAGAUAAAUAGGGGCGCUCUCCCUCAAGCUGAAUUUUAACGUAAUUUCUCUUGAUGUAGCUAGCAGGAGGCAGAGGUGUAUUUGAAAGUCAGCAGCAUUCUGACAGCGAUUAGAAUAUCCUCCAUCUGCUAGUCUUCUUGAUUCUUAAAUUCUGUGGAGCUCAAAUAGACAACAAAGCUUGUGGAACUAAUUAAGUGUUACCAUAAAUAUCUAGCCUUCAUCACGUUGAGCUUCCUCAAUAAAUAUUACUCCCUGUUUUUAUAUUUUUAUUUUAUAAAGUAAAAAAGAAAUAUUUAUUUUAUUUUUAUGCCACCACAGUGAAGGUACUUAUGGGUUUUAUGCCACUCGUAUACUCACAUGGGGCUUAGUAUUUUUUAACAUUUUUAUUUUCUUUUCAAGAUAGCAUGAUUAACUAAAAAUCUAUUUAAGGAAAGUAAAUAAUUAAAGGGAAAAGGGAAUGCAGAAAGGAUAAAUAUGGAUAACUACCAAUCUUACCUUUCGGCGAGGGUUCAAUGUUUUAAGUCUUCUUGACAAGACUUCUCACCGUGUUCAUUCUUUAGGUGCGUCAUUUGAUUUAGGUGCGGACCUUGAUGUCUGCACCUUUUAAUACGAUGUCACCCAUGUUCUUCGUUUGCCCAGCAAUUCGAAGUGCGGUGUUGGCAGUGUCCUGCUCAGUGUGUUUGUGCUCGUAGUGUACCUGCUCAUAGAGACAAGGCAGAGAUCAAGUGCAUGGGCCCUGUUGGUGGAAAACACCAACAGAACCAAAAGUGUAUUUGUUCUUCUCUAACCUUAAGCAUAGUGAGCAAGACAUGUUGAUGGAUGAUAAGUUCAUGAGUGUAGCACUUAUAACAUUUGUCAGAUCAAAUCGCUCAACCUUAUGGAAAGAUAAUCUAUCUAUGUAUAUGUCUUUUUCUUUAUAUCUCUCAAUGAUUGAAUGUGUAACAUUUUAGCUCAUAUGAUUAGGAGUGUGGGAUCAUGGAGGUAGUACUAAGAACAAGGAUUAAAGGACUAAACAUGUUGAAUCAGUUGGGUUGGUUAAUCUAGAGUUGUAAAUCAUACACGUUUGUCUCUUUUAUUUAUAUGAACGCCAGAACCAAGGAGAAGCUUAUAAAAGUGAUAGUCAAGUACCUUAAGAUGUUACCUUGCUUGAAGAGUGAUGGUACAGUAUCAUCUUGUGGAAGCUUUCCUUUCUUAGCGGUUAUGCGUCGUGUUUGUGGCACCCUCCAUGGAUCAUCUCUCUAUGAUGAAUGAGCUAUGUCCUUCUUGUGCAAAUUGUUAAACUUCAUGUGUCAUUCUCUUCGUCUCUGAUGUGAGUUUAUCUCAGGACUUCCCAAAUUGAUAUUGAAAGUUUUCCUGCAGGGGUUAGUCCGACAAAAUAUACCAAUAUCUACUCAAGCAGUUUCUUCUUUAGUUCAAUAACCAAACUAGACUCCAUGUCUAAUCAGAUUAAGGAAGGCUAUUUAACCUAAGCACCAUGCUUAAUUUAAAUGCCAAUGGAAGUAUGGCGAGUACUUCCAAACCAACGCUUGCUAGUAAAUAGACAAAGGUAGCAUGACAGCAUUUAUAGAGAUCUACUCAAGUAGAGAUGAAGCAGUGUGAUUAGUAUUUAACAAAUUGAGCAUGUCUCAAAGGUAGGGACAACCAGCAUAGCAACAUGGCAAAGGAUGUUUUUAUGUAAAGUACUCCCCCAAGCUUGAAUUUUGCAAAAUUCAAGUUUGGAUGAAUUUAAUUCAAUGUUGUAUGAUGAUUGGUUGGACAUACCUUGUGCUUGUCAUUCAUCCGAUCUUCUUGCUCCAAUCUUAGAAAGGUUAGUGACAAGAAUACCCGAAGGAAUAUUUUUUUACAAUUAUCCUUAUAUGCUCAAUACACAAGGUAAUGUUGCAAAUAAUUAAAAGCUCAUGUUACGAUCUGAUCAAUGCUUAUUUGAAGACACUAAGCUUGUCCUUGGGAAACCAUCAGUUUAUGUUGGCGAAGUGGUUUCCCCUCCGAUGCCAACCUAUAUCUAGAUCAACUCAACGAGAUCUGCAAUAUUUAUUAUAGACAUAUGCAUCGACAACCACCCUUUUAAAGUUUUUAUAAAUAGAAAGGAAGAGGGGGUUGGAGAUCUCAAGUGUGGUGAUGUUGGAGAGACCAAUAGAUUGGGAAGAUGUUGCAUAUGAGCAUGGAGUAAACGAAGUGGCUAUGAAAUAAAUUCCAUGCUCAUUAAUGUUAUCUUCGUCUCUAAUCUGAAUGUUCGGAGUUUCUCCUGGAUUGGUCUCACCUAUGUCCUCUUCUGUAGUUGGAUGAAUCUCAUUUUCAAAGGGAGUCAAGAACUCACCAUUUGAAAUUGAGCCAAAGUCAGAACCCAUUACGGCUUCUUCCUUAUCCAUCCAUUCUACACAUUCUAGCCAUUUAGAACUUGUGAUCAGGAAAGGGGAGGUGUUAGAAUUUUCAAUAUGGCUUAGCUCUCCUUCACUUGAUAUGUCAUCCUUGACUUCAUAACAGGAAUGAGGACAUUCUCUAAGAGAAACAUUAUUGAAAUGAUUUGAAUUAUCCCUACUUGAAGGUCUCUUAUAGAACUAGAAGUCUAAACCAUCAGCAUCUAAAAGAUUUAAGGUUGGAAUUCCUUCCUCCCUUGGAGAAUUUUGGGGUAUUGAUGGGUUAGGAUCGAUAGCUAAAGUUUGGGAUUGAAGUGGUUGUGAUCUGGCUAUCGAAACUUCUUCUUCUUGUCUAGGAACUGGUUCUUUCUCUUUCUCAGGGAUAUAAAAGCUAGGAGACUUUCCGCUCAUUAAAUCAAUCAAAUUCCAAGCUUCACUAGCGGAUAGGUGGUGGAAAGAUCCAACAGAGGCCGCAUGAAGGGUUUGCUUAUUUUUCCUACUAAGGCCCUCAAAAAAGUGAAUUAGAAGAACUUCUUCUGGAAUAGAAAGUUUUGGGCCAGUGAGAGUAAGGUUAAUAAAGCGGUCCCAAGAUUUGCCAAGAGAUUCUUCUUCCAGUUGUCUAAAAGAAAGAAUCUCACGCCGAAGUUCCACCACUUUGGAGAUUGGAAAAUAUUUAGAAAGAAAACUACUAUAUAACUCCUUCCAAUCUCCAUGAACACUCCCUACUUUGAGUUUAUACCAAUGUCUAGCUUUUCCCGUUAAAGAGAACGGAAAGAGCUUCCAUUUAAGGGUCUCAUCGGACAUGCCUUCUAUGCGAAGGAGGUCACAGAUUCGAUAAAACUCUCUUAGGUGUGUGUAUGGGUUUUCCUCACCUUCUCCUGAGAAAGGUUGUUUUUGAAUAAAUUCUAUGUAUUCGGGGUCUAUCUCAAAACUAGAUGCUAUGAUAGGCUUUGAAGAUUUUGGUGGUUCGAGAUGUGUGCCCAUAGGUCUAUGAAAUUCAUAGAUAGACAUGUUUGAAUUCAUAAUAGACCAGAGAUCAAGGAUUAGAUAAGAAGAAAGAAUAGCAGAGAUGAGGCAAAGGAUAAAAGGAAAAUAUUUUUUUUUAUUUUUUAUAAAAUGAUUAAACUAGUUCGUAGUCAACUCAGCAACCGUUUCCCCGGCAAUGGCGCCAAAAAUGCUUGUUGACACUUGCUAACACCACUUGAAUACUAGGUUGUCAUCCCCAGCAUGGCACUAGAGUGUACUAUGGUAUUUAUACGCACACAGAUAAUCCGCAAGCGCACGGAUACCGUUGAAGCUUUUACCCGGUUAAAGGUUUUAUCGUAUCCACAGGGAAACGGGAGAACCAACUACGCUCUAACUUAACCAAGAUAGAUAGAUAGGUGUAAAUAGGAAAGAUGAUAGAAUUGAAUAAGAACAAUAUUAAAGGAUAACAGUGAGUGAUAAUAUGGGAAUAGAGAAUAGAGCAAUUCUAGUAUAUGGGCGAUGGUAGCAGAAUAGAGAGGAUAACUAUGGUUUCUCUACUUCAAAGGGGUAUGUCUAUGUCUGGGAUGAACCACGUGAUAAGAGUACACCACAAAGGAUGCUUAUCCAUAGGCCGAUAAACCCUACCCGUCCUGCUAACGAGAGGUGGACUACAGGGGACCAACGUAACUGUCACCUACGCGGCCUACCACACGAUCCAGCUAGUCAGGGGAUAUCCACAAGUAAUCUAGGUCUAAGCACCACGCUUACACCUAUACUACAACUCUAACCUAUAGGGUCCUAUAGAUUAGAAGUACUCAAAAGAGUUGUGAACC
rnacentral:lncRNA from 1 species